GCCGAAGUGGCGGAACUGGAAGACGCGCUGGACUCAAAAUCCAGUGGGCCCCCGGCCCGUGCGGGUUCGAUCCCCGCCUUCGGCA
rnacentral:tRNA from 2 species